rnacentral:rRNA from 1 species
UACGUAGGUGGCGAGCGUUGUCCGGAUUUACUGGGCGUAAAGGGCGUGCAGGCGGUUUGUUAAGUGCAGGGUGAAAGCUCCCGGCUCAACUGGGAGAGGUCCUUGCAUACUGGCGAACUCGAGGGAGGCAGAGGAAAGUGGAAUUCCCGGUGUAGUGGUGAUAUGCGUAGAUAUCGGGAGGAACACCUGUGGCGAAGGCGGCUUUCUGGGCCUUACCUGACGCUGAAAUACGAAAGCGUGGGGAGCAAACAGG